rnacentral:rRNA from 1 species
CCUACGGGUGGCUGCAGUGGGGAAUAUUGGACAAUGGGCGAAAGCCUGAUCCAGCCAUGCCGCGUGUGUGAAGAAGGCCUUCGGGUUGUAAAGCACUUUCAGUGGGGAAGAAAGCAUUGGGGCUAAUACCCUCGAGGAAGGACAUCACUCACAGAAGAAGCACCGGCUAACUCCGUGCCAGCAGCCGCGGUAAUACGGAGGGUGCGAGCGUUAAUCGGAAUUACUGGGCGUAAAGCGCGCGUAGGCGGUCUGAUAAGCCGGUUGUGAAAGCCCCGGGCUCAACACUGGGAACGGCAUCCGGAACUUGCAGGAUAGAGUUCAGGAGAGGAAGGUAGAAUUCCCGGUGUAGCGGUGAAAUGCGUAGAAAUCGGGAGGAAUACCAGUGGCGAAGGCGGCCUUCUGGACUGACACUGACGCUGAGGUGCGAAAGCGUGGGUAGCAAACAGGAGUAGAUACCCGAGUAGUC